GGUAGUGUGGCCCACCAGUCUAAGGCGCUGGAUUAAGCCUCCAGCCUCAAUAGAGGCCUGGGUUCAAAUUCCACCACUGCUA